UGAGGAAUUUUGCGCAAUGGGAGCAAUCCUGACGCAGCAACGCCGCGUGGGUGAUGAAGGCCCUCGGGUCGUAAAGCCCUGUCAGGUGGGAAGAAUGUCCCGGGACUGAACAGGUUCCGGGAGUGACGGUACCACCAGAGGAAGCACCGGCUAACUCCGUGCCAGCAGCCGCGGUAAUACGGAGGGUGCACGCGUUAUUCGGAAUUACUGGGCGUAAAGCGCGUGUAGGCGGUCCCGCAAGUCUGAUGUGAAAGCCCCGGGCUUAACCCGUGAAGUGCAUUGGAAACUGUGGGACUUGAGUACUGGAGAGGAUGGGGAAUUCCCGGUGUAGAGGUGAAAGUCGUAGAGAUCGGGAGGAAUAUCAGUGGCGAAGGCGCCCAUCUGGACGGUAACUGACGCUGAGACGCGAAAGCGUGGGGAGCAAACA
rnacentral:rRNA from 1 species